UUCUGUGAGUGUAAGGGUUUGAAGAGAAGAGCUGAAUGUAGAGACUGAGUGUAGAGCUGAAUGUAGAGCUGAAUGUGUGAUAUGGAAGACAUAUUCACUUAUGAGACCCCACGGCAAGAGGGACAGGUCCAGCUGGGACCCACAGACACGUGGAGGGCUGGGGACUGAUGCUGCUGUGGGGGAACUGUGAUGCCCACGUGAAGUUGCUGCUGUGGGAUGGGAGUGCUGCUGUUGGAUGGGAGUGCUGCUGUUUGAUGGAACUGAUGCUGGCAGCUUAUAAAAGGAAAUCGAGUCCAAAGGACUCGGUUCCUAAGCCUGAAAAACGAGUUCGUUGAACUCGGUUUCAAAGAGUAGAAACCGAGUCCAAUGGACUCGGUUUCUAAGCGCAAAAAACGAGUCCUUUAAAGUCGGUUUCAAAGCCUAGAAACCAACUCAAAUGAACUCGGUUUUAAAGCCUAGAAACCGACUCAAAUGAACUCGGUUUUUCCCUGCACCUUCUGAUCAACUUAGGAGUGGAUUUAUUUUACAAUUGCAAUCACAUAUUGAGAUUCAUUUUUUCUUGUUCUUAUUCAGUGUUGGAUACUCAGCACAUGUAUUCUAUACAGUCAACAAAUUAGUCUUGACUAAGAGCACCAGUGAAAGUUUAUGGGCCUAAGGUAGCUCCAUUUGUUAAGCCAAUAACUAUUGAUGAGACAAAGGAAAAUAGACUUUAAAAUCAUUGAACUGAAAAAUAAGGUUUGUUCUGGUAAUGACAAUAACUUUGUUGUCAUUAAUCAAAAGGGAAUUGAUCCCCCAUCACUGGACAUUCUUGCGAGGGCAGGGGGUGCUGGAGCUUUUGAAGUUGCUGCCAGACAAUAUCUAAUAAACGAAGUAAAGAAGACUGUUCAAGGGGUAACAAAAUGUCUCCCAAAAUUUUCCCUGCACAUAAUUUUUUUUAAGCAUUAGUUAUCUCUCUGAUCAGUUUCUUUAAGCAUUACUUUGUUUCAUGUCCAUCAAAAACUCAUCAACACUGCAGCACACAAGGAGAUUCAUUCAUUUUAUAUUAUUUGUGCAUACAACACAGCAGAGCAAAAAUAAAGAAAUACUGAAUCAUGCAGCAACUAAUAAGUUGAGGCAUUUCAAGGAUUUACUACUGCAACUUGUUCUAAUUAUACAAUGCUUAUACUUAUGUUGACAUUUAGGAGCAGAAGAGCUAAUAAUGUUAUGCUU